CGCUGACCGACCCACAUCCGGCUCCCCAGACGUUUGAGUCUGGUGGUAGGAAGCGCUACGGGAGUAGCUUUAGCGGGAUGACUUUCUGCGUCUCAUGAAGGAAGCUUAAGUAUCCAUUUGUCUGAUCAAAGAACAGAAGCUCAGAUGAAGACACACAGAGGGAGAGCGGCUUCCCGCCCCGCUCAGAUUCAAGAAACCGAGUCAGACAAACAGAAGCUGAUAAGGAAGAACCAGAACCAGCUGUGCCAGGUGCAUCGCCAAAAUACCGCGGGCUCCACGGCCCCUUAAGGCAGGCCGGCUGUGAGUCGAUCCCAGCCGCAGCCGGAGCGCUGCCUGUCGUCUGUUGACUGACACAAUGUAAACGCUCGAGAUAGAAAGCAAGCCGUCAUGCAGCGGAUUCCUGUCUCGACCGCCCCCCCGGAGCCUCACGGUACCAUGAGUGCAUCAGCCGCUUGGACCUCAAUUGACAAAGGCGAACUGGUCCACAGUCACACGCCAGAAGGCGAUCGUCACAUAGGGUCAGAGUACAUGUCAUCUUCAAAUCCCCCCCCCCAAAAAAGAAGAAAUCUCACUUAAUUGGGACCCUGGAUAUCAUUGGAUAUCUUGCUAUGGAUUUUCAGAUUGUCAAAGAUUGAUUUAUGAGAUUGUUUAUGAGGCGUCCUGUCAGUCCUACUCAGGUGUGCGGAGACCUUUGAUACCUUUGGUUCUCCGGGCUUCACGUGGACCUGUAAGUGUCCUUGACAAAGGAUGCGAGCAGGAACACCGGACCGCGACUGAUGCAGCUCACAUUAUGAAAUAACAGGGUGAUGGAUUACUGCUCAGGAAGAAACAGACGAAACCAGAUCCACAGCACUCAAUGGAAAUGGGAUAAAAACACAAAAAUCGGAUUCUGCUCCACAUUAACUCCACUUAAAUUUAGAUUCAUUCCGGAUUCAUUUUUGAGUCGCUCAGAAAACCGCCUGCAUGCUUCUUCAUCAAACAAUUGUUCUGCACGACCGCGCAGAUUGCGCACGAUUAAUAAGCCUCAAAAUGAGUCAACCAGAGAAGUUGCGCUACUCACCCGACA